ensembl:lncRNA
GGGUGCAAGACAGACACAGACACAGACACACACACCCCACCCCACCCCCCCUGAGGCGGGAAAUGUCCACGCUAGAAACCAGGCAACAGCCCUAUUGUCCUGAGUCCUUCUGCUUCUAAUCAUCAAUAGUGCAGAACCCAGGUAUCCGCUGGAGACCAAUUUGGGCCGAGGAGCAGGAGGUCCUGGGGUCUUAUAAUGGGCUCCACCCUCUUGAGUUCUUUAAAUUCCUGCUGUUGGGUGGGGAGUGUGAAGGUACCAGGGCCUCAGCUGAGUGCUGCCCCCAGAGCUGCAGAGCUGCACCCCUCUUUGGGACAGGCGGCCACAGAGGGGCCGGGUAUGUGGGUGCUCCCCACGGCUCUGAUAGUGCAGCUCCCCCAGCCUCUGGCCCGGUCCUCGGGGGGACAGCCUGUCCAGGCAGUGGGAGGUCAGGAGGCUCUCCCCAGAGGCCGGCCAGGUCGGCUGAUUAGCAGCUUGUCCCUGGUGCGGAUGGAGUUAAACCUUUCCGGGGACUAUUUACUUCUGAUCCUAAGUGACAGCUUGGGGAGGGAGAGUCACGUGGCCCUGAAAUCCCCGCGGGAGCCCAUGGAGCAUGCCCAGCUGCUUCUGCCUGGGAAAGGUGCUGGAUCCUGCAGUUACCGCAGCAGCAUCCUUUCCCUGGAGCCAGGGACCUGCCAGCCAGAGAGAUGACUGAUUAGAUCAGCUCAGAUCCAGAGCCCGGCUCUUCAGAAGGGGCCCCCGAGGGCGGGAGGUCAACCCCAGCCGGCCUGAGCUGGGGGAGGGGUGCCCUGGGCCGCAGAGGGUGGCUCCUCCAGCCGGAUCUCACUUCUGAAGGAGCUGUUGGGCUCCUUUCCCUUUCCACAGCGAGGUGACGGUGCGGGACGCAUUACACCGAUAAUCACCUUCAGCGCGUCUGCCUGGAUCAUCGAGUUGGAGUCUUCUUGCUCGGUGCAAAUGAAGUAAUUACCGAGGAAGUCGGGGAGCCCCGCCUCCGGGCGCGUACUGCGGCCCAGGCCGCCGCCCCUCUGCGGGCUCCUCUCCGCCUCCUCACCUGCCGGCCAGACCCGCGCGGCCCGGUGUGGGGGGACGGGACGGGGCGCAGUCUGAGCCAGACCUCUGAAGCAGCUGAGGGAGGCGACUUCCGGCCUCCCACCAGCUAAGACUCGUUUGAGAAACAUUGGGAGUCAGUGGAGGCUACAGGAAGGAAGGAGAGGAAUCUCCCAGUUUAGGGGUCUCCCAUGGGACCCCCUCAGAGGCUCUCAUCCCGGCCCUGCACGGCCAGAUGAGCCCCAGGCCGGCCUUCCUGGGGUCCCAGGGCGGGGGCUGUCACCCCGCAGGCGGCCUUCCUUGACUCUUUCUGAACCCAGUCAAAACCUGAGGGCCCUGGGCGCACCCAUUCUUGGGCUCUGAGCCUGAAGGGGCCCGGAACACGUGGCAGUAAAAGGGUUUUCCUGUGAAAACAGCAUGUAGCCGUAGUGCAUUUUACACGAGCGUUUCUUUUUUUUGGAAGGGGUGGUACCAGGGAUCAAACUCAGGUCCUCGCACUUAGGAGGCAGGUGGCAGAGCCACUGAGCUAAAUCCCCAGCCUCUAUAUGAGUGUUUUUUGUGGGGCAGGUAGGGUGUUAGCCCUAUUUUCCUUUCACAAAUAAACACAAUAUAAAUAUUUUUGUUCACGAAGCAUUCUCUUUAUUUUGGAUCAUUUCCAAAGGAUACAUCCCAAGCAUGUAGAACUGAUGGAAUAAAGAGCACUCAUUAAAAACAUUUACUAUUCCAUGAGCAUAAAAAAAUAAUACAUAAUCGUUAAAAAAUGUAGACAGACAUGCAAAGUUUAAGUCUAUCCAUAAUUCUCUGAGAUUUCAUGUGUAUACGUAUAUCUUUUCAGGAAUUCACAUACAGACAUGACUAGAUUUAUCACCAUCAUAAACAUAUAUAUCAUUAAAACUUUGAGCCAGAUGUACAUAUUGUCACUUAAGCAUUUUCCCAUGUCAUUAAUAUUCUCUUAACAUCCAAGUGCCUGUCUAGUAUUUUAUUAUGCAUCUAAUCUAUUUGUUUUUUUGACCCUUAUGUCAGACCAGCUGAUUCCAGUUUUUUGCUUUUAUAAACAAUGCUAUAGUGAAAGUAUAAAUAUCUGAGUUGUUAUACAUAUGAGUAAUUUUUUUUCCUUAGGCCACAUGUUUAGAAGUGGAAUUGCUCGCAUAUUUUUAAAUAUUUGGGCAUAUUUUACCAAAUUCCUCACUCAAAAGCAUGAACUUAUACUCCCAGCAGUUGUGUCUGAGAAUGUGUUUUGUGGCAUGAGCA